AGGUGAACCUGCGGAGGGAUCAUCAAAGAAUAACAAUCAUAAACCCCAAGUGUCGGGUGUGGGUGGUGAUGUGGUGGGGGAGGAGGGAUUUUUUCCUUCCUUCCUUCCUUUAAUCAUUAUCAUCAUCGUCACCUGAUGCUUCAAACAAACGAUCGCAACUAAAAACAACAAAUUGCGCGUGUGCUUUUGGGAAUGAGAGAGAGAUUUGGUGGUGGGGGGCUGUGUUACAGCUUCUCUUCUCUUUUUCUCUUCUCUCUUCUCGUGUGCAUGUGUAUGUGUGUCUUGGAUACUCUGGCUUGCGAGGGGGUAUAAUAGUAAUAAUCAAGAAAAAGUGUUUGCCUGAUAAUCUGAUUGGAAAAUUCCGAGGGAAAGAAAUAUACAACUUUCAACAACGGAUCUCUUGGCUCUCA
rnacentral:misc_RNA from 1 species